GACGAACCAUGCAAACGUUAUUCGGAUUCACUGGGCUUAAAGCGUGCGUAGGCGGCCAUGUUAGUCAGGUGUGAAAGCCCUCAGCCCAACUGAGGAAUUGCGCUUGAUACUGCAUGGCUAGAGAAUGAUAGAGGUGGGUGGAACUGAUGGUGGAGCGGUGAAAUGCGUUGAUAUCAUCAGGAACACCAGUGGCGAAGGCGACCCACUGGGUCAUUUCUGACGCUGAGGGACGAAAGCUAGGGGAGCGAACGGG
rnacentral:rRNA from 1 species